ensembl:lncRNA
CCUAGCUGGCAUAUUUUGUACUUUCACUCCCAUAUGGACCCCAUUGAAAACAAGAUGGCCUAUCUCAAGGGGCUGUCCUUAAUGAAGUAGAAAUUACAACGUUACAACUCAGUGUGGUCUUAACGAGGAAAAUGGAGAAAAAAAGGAAUCGCAAGCCGAACUGGACUGAGGAGCAAGGUUUGUUGCUGGCCCAGUUGGUGAACGAACAUAAAGGUAUGUUACGAGGAAAAUUUGGCCCAACUGUCACUAGCCAAGGCAAGAGGCGCGCCUGGGACACAAUAUCCCAAACAAUCAAUGCCACUUUUCCACUGGUGGUGCGGACAGGCGACGAUUGUGAGAAAAGGUGGUAUGUGCUGCAGUCCAAGGCAAAAGAUGAGAUUGCAGCACACAAGCGGGAAUCCUCACUCACAGGGGGUGGACCACCUGCAAAGUGGCUGUCCCAGGUGGCCGACACUGUCUUUCAAGUCCUGGGACACUCUGAGGUCAGUGUCACCGGGCUGCCAACAGGCAUUGACACGUCAAUGAUGCAGGCCCUUGAAAUGCAGCAAAGCAUGGAGCCAUCACAAGAACCGGGCCCAUCAAGUUUGCCGACAAGAUUGCCGCCUGAACCAUCUGCAGCUGCUACUCAGGAUAGCCCGGCGGAUCAAACACCAUUCCCAUCCGAAGCACCUGCUCCAUCAGCAUCCCUGCAGGAGAGAAGAUUGCAACUCACAAUUGAUGUGUUUGAACAACAAAAAAAAGUCCUUUCCCUUCAGGAGGAGUACUACCGCCUUAAAAUUGAACACCUAAAAAAU